rnacentral:rRNA from 1 species
GACGAACGCUGGCGGCGUGCUUAACACAUGCAAGUCGUACGGUAAGGCCCUUUCGGGGGUACACGAGUGGCGAACGGGUGCGUAACACGUGAGUAACCUGCCCACAACUUUGGGAUAACGCUAGGAAACUGGUGCUAAUACUGGAUAUGUGCUCCUGCUGCAUGGUGGGGGUUGGAAAGCUCCGGCGGUUGUGGAUGGACUCGCGGCCUAUCAGCUUGUUGGUGGGUAGUGGCCUACCAAGGCGGCGACGGGUAGCCGGCCUGAGAGGGUGACCGGCCACAUUGGGACUGAGAUACGGCCCAGACUCCUACGGGAGGCAGCAGUGGGGAAUAUUGCACAAUGGGCGCGAGCCUGAUGCAGCAACGCCGCGUGCGGGAUGACGGCCUUCGGGUUGUAAACCGCUUUCAGCAGGGACGAAGCUUUUUGUGACGGUACCUGCAGAAGAAGCACCGGCUAACUACGUG